UUACCCGCUGAGAAUCCUAGCAUAUCAAUAAGCGGAGGAAAAAGAAACCAACCAGAGGGAUUGCCCCAGUAACGGCGAGUGAAGCGGCAACAGCUCAAAUUUGAAAUCUGGCCCCUAGGGCCCGAGUUGUAAUUUGCAGAGGAUGCUUUUGGCGAGGUGCCUUCCGAGUUCCCUGGAACGGGACGCCAUAGAGGGUGAGAGCCCCGUCUGGUUGGACGCCGAGCCUCUGUAAAGCUCCUUCGACGAGUCGAGUAGUUUGGGAAUGCUGCUCUAAAUGGGAGGUAUAUGUCUUCUAAAGCUAAAUAUUGGCCAGAGACCGAUAGCGCACAAGUAGAGUGAUCGAAAGAUGAAAAGCACUUUGAAAAGAGAGUUAAAUAGUACGUGAAAUUGUUGAAAGGGAAGCGCUUAUGACCAGACUUGGGCCCGGUGAAUCAUCCAGCGUUCUCGCUGGUGCACUUUGCCGGUGCCCAGGCCAGCAUCAGUUUGCCCCGGGGGAUAAAGGCUUUGGGAAUGUAGCUCCCUAGGGAGUGUUAUAGCCCAUUGCAUAAUACCCUGUGGCGGACUGAGGUUCGCGCAUCUUGCAAGGAUGCUGGCGUAAUGGUCAUCAGCGACCCGUCUUGAAACACGGACCAAGGAGUCGUCUUCGUAUGCGAGUGUUCGGGUGUUAAACCCCUACGCGUAAUGAAAGUGAACGCAGGUGAGAGCUUCGGCGCAUCAUCGACCGAUCCUGAUGUUCUCGGAUGGAUUUGAGUAAGAGCAUACGGGGCCGGACCCGAAAGAAGGUGAACUAUGCCUGUAUAGGGUGAAGCCAGAGGAAACUCUGGUGGAGGCUCGCAGCGGUUCUGACGUGCAAAUCGAUCGUCAAAUAUGGGCAUGGGGGCGAAAGACUAAUCGAACCUUCUAGUAGCUGGUUUCCGCCGAAGUUUCCCUCAGGAUAGCAGUGUUGAUCUCAGUUUUAUGAGGUAAAGCGAAUGAUUAGGGACCCGGGGGCGCUAUAUUGCCUUCAUCCAUUCUCAAACUUUAAAUAUGUAAGAAGCCCUUGUUACUUAACUGAACGUGGGCAUUCGAAAGUAUCCAACACUAGCGGGCCAUUUUGUAGCCACAAAAACUCUGGGCGAA
rnacentral:rRNA from 1 species